rnacentral:rRNA from 1 species
AUUGAACGCUGGCGGAAUGCUUUACACAUGCAAGUCGAACGGCAGCACGGACUUCGGUCUGGUGGCGAGUGGCGAACGGGUGAGUAAUGUAUCGGAACGUGCCCAGUCGUGGGGGAUAACGUAGUGAAAAUUACGCUAAUACCGCAUACGAUCUAUGGAUGAAAGCGGGGGAUCGCAAGACCUCGCGCCAUUGGAGCGGCCGGUAUCAGAUUAGGUAGUUGGUGGGGUAAAGGCCCACCAAGCCAACGAUCUGUAGCUGGUCUGAGAGGACGACCAGCCACACUGGAACUGAGACACGGUCCAGACUCCUACGGGAGGCAGCAGUGGGGAAUUUUGGACAAUGGGCGAAAGCCUGAUCCAGCCAUUCCGCGUGCAGGAUGAAGGCCCUCGGGUUGUAAACUGCUUUUGUACAGAACGAAAAGGUUUCUACUAAUACUAGGAGCUCAUGACGGUACUGUAAGAAUAAGCACCGGCUAACUACGUGCCAGCCGCCGCGGUAA